UACGUAGGGGGCAAGCGUUGUCCGGAUUUAUUGGGCGUAAAGAGCGUGUAGGCGGCCAGGUAGGUCUGCUGUGAAAACUCGAGGCUUAACCUCGAGAUGUCGGCGGAAACCAUCUGGCUAGAGUCCGGAAGAGGAGAAUGGAAUUCCCGGUGUAGCGGUGAAAUGCGCAGAUAUCGGAGGAAGACACCAAUGGCGAAGGCAG
rnacentral:rRNA from 1 species